GCAUAUCAUAGCGGAGGAAAAGAAACCAACAGGGAUUGCCCCAGUAACGGCGAGUGAAGCGGCAACAGCUCAAAUUUGAAAUCUGGCCUUCGGGUCCGAAGUUGUAAUUUGGAGAGGAUGCUUUUUGGCGCGGCGCCGUCCGAGUUCCUUGGAACAGGACGCCAUAGAGGGUGAGAGCCCCGUACGGGCGGCCGCCUAGCCUUUGUAAAGCUCCUUCGACGAGUCGAGUAGUUUGGGAAUGCUGCUCAAAAUGGGAGGUAAAUUUCUUCUAAAGCUAAAUACCGGCCAGAGACCGAUAGCGCACAAGUAGAGUGAUCGAAAGAUGAAAAGCACUUUGAAAAGAGGGUUAAAAAGUACGUGAAAUUGUUGAAAGGGAAGCGCCUGUGACCAGACUUGCGACCCGUGGAUCAUCCGGUGUUCUUCACCGGUGCACUCCGCGGGCUGCAGGCCAGCAUCGGUUUUCCUAGGGGGAUAAAGGUCGCAGGAACGUAGCUCUUUCGGGAGUGUUAUAGCCUGUGGCGUCAUGCCUCUGGGGAGACCGAGGACCGCGCUUCGGCAAGGAUGCUGGCGUAAUGGUCACCGGCGACCCGUCUUGAAACACGGACCAAGGAGUCAAGCAUUGGGGCGAGUGUCUGGGUGCCAAACCCGCACGCGAAAUGAAAGUAAACGCAGGUGAGAGCUUCGGCGCAUCACCGACCGAUCCUGAUGUCUUCGGAUGGAUUUGAGUAAGAGCCUUACCGCUUGGACCCGAAAGAUGGUGAACUAUGCCUGUAUAGGGUGAAGCCAGAGGAAACUCUGGUGGAGGCUCGCAGCGGUUCUGACGUGCAAAUCGAUCGUCAAAUAUGGGCAUGGGGGCGAAAGACUAAUCGAAACCAUCUAGUAGCUGGGUUACCGCCGA
rnacentral:rRNA from 1 species